rnacentral:rRNA from 1 species
GGCCGCGGGAAUUCGAUUCAGGCCUAACACAUGCAAGUCGUACGAGAGUUUUUAACUCAAGUGGCGGACGGGUGAGUAACACGUAAGAAUUUGCCUUUAGGAGGGGGACAACAAUUGGAAACGAUUGCUAAUACCCCAUAUGCUUUAGAGUGAAAUGGAUUUUUCCGCCUAAAGAGAAGCUUGCGGCUGAUUAGCUUGUUGGUAAGGUAAUGGCUUACCAAGGCGACGAUCAGUAUCUGGUUUGAGAGGACGAUCAGACACACUGGAACUGAGACACGGUCCAGACUCCUACGGGAGGCAGCAGUGGGGAAUUUUCCGCAAUGGGCGAAAGCCUGACGGAGCAAUCUCGCGUGAGGGAUGAAGGCCUAUGGGUUGUAAACCUCCUUUUUCAGGGAGGAAUAAAAUGAC